rnacentral:lncRNA from 1 species
UUGGUAGUGUGGAACUUAAACUGAUAAAGGAGAGAUAACUAACCAAACCCCGAAAUACAGGCAACAUGACACGGACAAUACUGCAAUAUGCAUCUUUGAGGACAUGAUUCUAAUUGAGUGGUGGUGUUUCUUCCGUGCUUUUGCUCGUAGAACCUGAUGAUGGUAGGGUUUUUUGGGUGAGACAUGGCAAUAAAAUGGGUAGAACAUAACCUGCAAGCAUCGUUCAAUAAGGACUCACUGGAUAAGGUAAAACUUCACAGUAUUAGGCAGAGUGUAUCCAAGUUUAGUACUUAGUAAUAUUGGCACAAACUCACUUCUUUUUUUUUAAUAUCCAGCAGCUGAUUUUGACCUAAAGCAAAGAGAGCCAAGCCACAAGCUGUUAGAUAUAGCUCAGUCUUUGCCUUAAAGCCCAGGAAUUCCAGCUUGCAAGCAGCCACUUCUGAACAUCGAGAGCAUCGAGACUCCUGCCUGCUCGUUCCAAAAACUAGGUACGCUCUCCUUGCCUGAACAUAUGAUGAUUGCAGCACUUAAUACUAUUCUCUUUGGUAGCCUGCUUUGAAUUGUAAAGAGAAAAGAUAGAUAUGAUGUGACUGUACUUCGGAUGUUUCAGUGGUUUUCACAUUGUGAUUGUUGUUAAUGCCAGCAAUCAAUUCCUUUUAUUGGUGUUAGGAAUUGCUUCAUAAGCUUGUAAUGAGCAUUCCAUGGGUUUUAGUAUUAGAACAGUUAUUAAAGUAAAUUGUAUUUUGCAGAUGAAGUGAAGUGCUCUGGAUAUGAGAAAAAUUAAGCAUUUAACCAUGAGAGACCAGUGUUCAAAUUCCAGCUGAGCCAAAAAAUCGCUAGGUGACUGCUGCUCAUCUAUCUAAGCCUUGGUGAGCAAAGUUACUCGGUAGUGUACUAGUGGAUGGUAGUAGGUAGCCGGUGGAAUACUCAGCUGUCGAGAUACGCAAGCUGGCUUGAACACCACAAUUAUCAACAUAGAGGAAAAAAGAGAGAAGAAAUAUGCACUUGAAACACAAGAGGCCAUAGAGAAUUACAGUAGUAACUAUGCGGUGAGAAGAAUGACGAGAAAGAUACUGUAAUCGAGAGGUAAACUAGAUGACGUUUCCUUGGCAACGACAAUCUAUUUUCUUCAUCUAAGGGUAGGUCCUUAACGUGAGCUGUAUAGUGUACUAAUCCUUGAUCACAUCUGAGAAUGUGUCAAGUGGACUGUUGUAGCCAUGUCUUUGUAUAGUGGUUGAUUGGUUGAAGAGUUAUGAACUAAGAAGGAAAGUAUGAAAGAACGGAGCAUGGUAAGGCAAAAUGUACCAACUUCUUGUAUCCUCUCCACUCUAACCAAUUGACCUCGAAAUUUUGUAGUGUAGGAAAAUAAUCUGGGAGCACUGUAGCUUACUGCAUAUAUAUAAGAAAGCUAGCAUGUGCAGCCCCUGAAAAAACCUACUGUAUUGUUUGGCUCUUCAUGCAAAAUGCUGAAAGUGGUCAUUUUCUUCCAUUCUUUUUCUUUUGCUUCAAGCUGGAUAUAUCUAGAUGGUUGAUUAAGCAGCUUUUUACUAACAGAUUCCUUUGAAAUAUAUAGGUUCAGAAUUUAAAAAGUAGAGGUACUGCACAUGUUAAUUUGACAGUUGCUUGAUGGUAAAAAAAGGUUUUCUUAAAUCGCUUAAGUGACUUUCU